AGUAACUGCGAGUGAAGCGGCAAAAGCUCAAAUUUGAAAUCUGGCGUCUUUGGCGUCCGAAUUGUAAUUUGGAGAGGCAACUUCGGAGAUGGUGCCGUCCUAAGUCCCUUGGAACAGGAUGACAUAGAGGGUGAGAUCCCCGUGCCUGGAUGGCUGUCCAUCUCCAUGUGAAUUGCUUUCGAAGAGUCGAGUUGUUUGGGAAUGCAGCUCAAAAUGGGUGGUAAAUUUCAUCUAAAGCUAAAUAUUGGCGAGAGACCGAUAGCGCACAAGUAGAGUGAUCGAAAGAUGAAAAGCACUUUGAAAAGAGAGUUAAAAAGUACGUGAAAUUGUUGAAAGGGAAGCGCUUGAGACCAGAUUCGAUUUGUGGUGAUCAGCUGUGCUUCUGUACGGUGCACUUGCCAUGGAUCGGGUCAGCAUCGGUUCCGACGGUGGGAUAAAAGGGUGGGGAAUGUGUCUUCCUUCGGGGAGUGUUAUAGCCUCACUCACAAUGCCACCAGCUGGGACCGAGGACCGCGCUUCGGCUAGGAUGCUGACAUAAUGGUCUUAAGCGACCCGUCUUGAAACACGGACCAAGGAGUCUAACAUCUAUGCGAGUGUUCGGGUGGAAAACCCUUGCGCGUAAUGAAAGUGAACGGAGGUGGGAACCCGCAAGGGUGCACCAUCNACCGAUCCUGAUGUCUUCGGAAGGAUUUGAGUAAGAGCAUAGCUGUUGGGACCCGAAAGAUGGUGAACUAUGCCUGAAUAGGGUGAAGCCAGAGGAAACUCUGGUGGAGGCUCGCAGCGGUUCUGACGUGCAAAUCGAUCGUCAAAUUUGGGUAUAGG
rnacentral:rRNA from 1 species